rnacentral:rRNA from 1 species
UCCAGACUCCUACGGGAGGCAGCAGCCGGGAAUAUUGCGCAAUGGAGGAAACUCUGACGCAGUGACGCCGCGUGCAGGAAGAAGGUUUUCGGAUUGUAAACUGCUUUAGACAGGGAAGAAACAAGACAGUACCUGUAGAAUAAGCUCCGGCUAACUACGUGCCAGCAGCCGCGGUAAUACGUAGGGAGCAAGCGUUAUCCGGAUUUAUUGGGUGUAAAGGGUGCGUAGACGGGAAAACAAGUUAGUUGUGAAAUCCCUCGGCUUAACUGAGGAACUGCAACUAAAACUAUUUUUCUUGAGUGUUGGAGAGGAAAGUGGAAUUCCUAGUGUAGCGGUGAAAUGCGUAGAUAUUAGGAGGAACACCAGUGGCGAAGGCGACUUUCUGGACAAUAACUGACGUUGAGGCACGAAAGUGUGGGGAGCAAACAGGAUUAGAUACCCGAGUAA